rnacentral:rRNA from 1 species
UACGUAGGUGGCAAGCGUUGUCCGGAUUUACUGGGCGUAAAGAGCGCGCAGGCGGUCGGAUAAGUCGAAUGUGAAAGCCCCCUGGCUCAACCAGGGAGGGUCAUUCGAUACUGUUCGACUCGAAGGCAGGUAGGGGAGAUCGGAAUUCCUGGUGUAGCGGUGGAAUGCGCAGAUAUCAGGAGGAACACCGGUGGCGAAGGCGGGUCUCUGGGCCGAUGACUGACGCUGAGGUGCGAAAGCGUGGGGAGCAAACAGG